AGCGCCAGCCCCACCACCACUAUUUCCAAAAGGUUACACCCCCUCACGAACACAGAAUCGGAAAAUGGCCCUAAAACCCAACAAAUGGGGUGUAAUGACCCAACUAUUCUAGACCUUGGACUAUUAAUAACUACUAUACUAAUCAUGAGAAAGCGUACAUGCGAAAACAUCAUAACUUUAUUAUGUAAAGAAAAUGUUUGAAUACAUAAAUAUUUUACUUAGGAUAUGGGAUUCCAUUAUUUUGAAAAUAAAGCAAAACAUAACUUAAAUAAAUGAGUUACAAAAUUAAGUGCGGAAAAUAAUACAUAGAAAUCAUAAUUUAAAAACUUAAGACUUCAUUCUCUAAUCGAACACUCAGUCAAUCGAUUUCAAUCCAGUCUUAAUACACAACUCCAAGCUGCCAAAAAACUUUUCGCUGCUGUUGACCCACGAUUUGGCCAACUGACACGGAGUCAAAAUAUGGAUGAUUUGAUCAAAUAUAAAGAAAAUAAUAUAAUGACGAAAGUGAAGAAAACACAGCAAUUUAUAGUGGUUCGGCCCCAGGAUCUGGUAAUGACCUACGUCCACUUAGAAUUAUAUUGAUAUGAAAUCAGAAGUGUGAUCAGAGAACUCGGGUUCAAUGAGUUUCAACACUUCACUUAAAGCAAUACAAGUGUUUUGGCAGAAAUUCUAUCUUUCUCUCCUUUUUUCUCUCGUUCAAAAGAAAAGUCCCCCUCACCUUGAGCUAUUUCUUGCUAUUUAUAGGCUCAAGGAGGGUUACAGAUUAUUUGUUGCAGAUAUUAUCCCCUGAAUAGUGGGAUACUCGGAAGAUUGCAUGAGAUAAUAUCGGGAUUUACAAAGAUCUUCCCAUAAAUGUCGUUCUGCUAGUGGAACCACUGACCAGACUGGUCGCGGUAUAGAUAGGCUUGUCAUGCUUCUGGUGUGUCUCCUGGUCGAUACUCUAGCAGAUGCUUCCAGGUGUCAGCCACGUAUCAAGAAUUUACUUGCCACGUCAUAAAUGCUAAUUUACCUGAUAACAUUUGCCCCCCAAAGUUUAUUUAUUACGAACAGUGAAUAAACUUUGAACGUAUGACCUUUCGGUAACCCCUUCUGACGUGUCAGGACCCUUCGUGCAUUUUUGAAAAAAAACAAACUACUCCUGUCUAAUCAUGGCUUUUCAGUUCCCCAAAAACACUUUUGACGGCUAUCAUGUUUCCCCAUACAUCGAAAAGGGAAACUCAAUGAUCACGCCUUUUGAAUAUCAGAGACAAACUUAUAUAAGAUCACCAGAGCCAUUUCUUUCCUUUUCACGCACGCCAUUACUCUGUCGAAAACCCUAAAAACCAGAGCCUUACCUUCUCCGGCGAACGUUCUCCUGUGCUUUCUAGACUCAGACGGUGGGCUCCUUGACUCCCGAAGCUCUUAAUUCCAUCUCCACGAUCAUUUUCCUUGGUAAGUUUUUUGAAACUUCAUGCUUCUAAUUUCUCGUGGUGCAUGCUUUUAAAUGAUGUACUGUUUGAGUCUCUCGGUUUUUAGUUUGUGAACACUUGCAGAUAAGAUAUUUUUGUAGACAGAGUAGGCUUAUGAGUAAGUUUAAGACCCAGGAUCAGUGCUUUUUAGGACGUAAAAUCGAAGUUGCACUUCGAUUCUUAAGCCAGUUGAAAAUAAUUUUUUCCCGCCCUAAGAGGAGUUGGAAAAGCUAUUUCAAGAAAACUUUCCACUUUCACCCUUUGAUCCGCUUCUUAAACUGUUCGCACAGAAAGAUUUAGUUUCUUGUUAGAAUGCUGUUAUAUAAAGGCUUUAGCUUUUAUAUUCGACCAGUGUUAUUCUGAAAACCUUCUAGACUCCUCUGACCUCGCCUCCCCAUUCUUCUGUUUGCAGAUUUUAAUGCCAGAUUUGUGGGGAGGUGAGAGACCCAUCGACGACGACCUCCUCGCCCAACUGCUCGAGGGAGAAGAUCAACCAGCUGACCGCGUCUACCAGAUACCUUUCUCACGAACUUCUUCCAGGCCGCACCCUUCUCCUCCAAUGGCUCGUUCAAAAUCUUCUGGCAAGAAAAGGCCCGAGUCUGAAAGUAACCCUUUUUCUCCUGCCCAGCCUGAUUCGCAGGCGGGGGCUCCCUCGACCAGUGGUCGAGAGAAUCUUGUUCCUGACCCUAAUAUCCAAACUAGGGCUCGUCCUCGCCAUCGGAAUCCGCCUGAUGUCGAGUGGUAUACUCCCCCAGCCAGUUCGAUGACCCCUUGGAUGGUCGCCAACUGCUUCAGAAAAUACCCCCUAACGGGGGUAACCAUUACACGCCCUACUGCGGACCUCAGUGCCUGGUCCCGGUAUCAUAUUGAAGCGGGGUCUUAUCUCCCUCUUCAUUCUUUCUUUGUGGGGGUGGCCAAUUAUUUCGGCGUCGCUCCCUUUCAAAUAACUCCUAAUGGAUAUAGGAUGUUGGCUGCACUCUAUGUCUUUUACAAGCUUAACAAAUGGCCAGAACCUUCACCUCAUGAGGUUAACUACCUUUUUGACCUCAAGUCCAAUCCUCAACACAACGGAACAGGCUUUUUUCACUUCUGUCACCAGGAAACCGGCCGGACGUUUUUGAGUGGCACCACCCAUAUAUCGAACGUGGGGCAUUACAACAAGGAGUAUUUCUUUACUCCGGAUAUAGCCAGUAGCAACUUGGCCUUCGCGAGAGGAGGUAUAAAUUUAUUUGUCUUGGUUGAUAUUUUAUCACGGAGUAUUUCCUUUCAUCAUCUCUCAAACUUGAUCUGCUUUUUAGGCCCUUGGUUACGUCCGACCCCGACAUCAGACAUGGUGUCGAGGUCUAACACCCUGGCCAAGAUGUCUGCUGCAGCCAAAUGUGUCAAAACUCUGACACUAGAAAAGAACUUGAGGUCUUCUGGCCUUCUGGCUCCUCGCCAUGAAAAUAGAGGGUCCGUAGCGGACGAACCUACUGCCGAGGGGGUUCCCGAGCAGCAUCCUCCUGUGCCCUCCCCUAGGAGGAGGCCCACAGGAGUUACAAUCAGGGAACCCACAGGCAGUCCUUCUGCAGAAAGGCCUUAUGCUCCCCAAGGCAAGGGGAAAGAAAAGGCCACAGAUACUGUCGUUGACUUGGAGGUGUCUUCUGAUGACAAUGGUAACGUUAUUUCGCUUUUAAAUGAUUUGCCAAUCCCUUGUCAUAUGUUUGACGGGGAUGGUAACUUUACAUAUGCGCCCAAUCUAGGGCCAAACUUCUUCGUGCCAGAAAAUGAGUAUAUGAUUAAUAGAGUCAAUAGUAUGGCGACCAGUAGUUGUAGCUCGGAAAUGUCGACUCCCAAUAUUUUUGACAUGUACCAGGCCGAAGAGGAAGAGGAAAUCCCUCAACUUCAACGGAGGUCAAAGAAGCGGACUGGUGAAACCAGUCAAGGUCCUUCAGCUAAGAAGAAUCGACCAGAGGACCUUACUCAGGGUACACCAACUGGGCGAAGUCCUGCGCCAACUGGGCGAACUCCCACUCCUCCUCCAGCUCCUUCUGAACAGCAAAAUACUCCUGCUCGAUCCAACCCUUCACCUGCGCCUGCUAGGGAGCAGCUUUCUCGCGAAGAGGCCCAUGGGGCCAGGCUCGUGAGCCGUGCCAUCCUAUCCGCCAAGGACCGAAUUGAACGCAUAGGCAAAGGUGAGCGUAUUGGGACCGCCAUGAUCCAAGCUGAAGAGCUACCAGUCGACCAGAUCCUGAACAGGGCUCUGAACGAGAUCUCCAGCGCCUUACUUUCUGCCAUUACUGCUCGUACCCGAGCCCAGGCCUAUUAUGAGCAGAUUGAGGCUAAAGUUCUUGAGAAACAUCAGGUGAAGGCGGCCGAGGAACUUUCGGCUGCUGAGGCCAAACAUGCUAAGGAGUUGGAGACGGUGGUCCGAGAGAGGGAUGCAGCGGUAACCAAACUGUCCGCGGUUGAAGCUGUAAAAGACGCAGCAGUUAAGCUGAGGGAAGAGUACCGGUCGUACAACAAAACUCAUCUUCGCGAAAUCAAGCAUCUGGAGGGGGUAGUCAAGUCUAAAGACGAGACUAUCGCCACUCUUGAGGGGAAGGUGCAGCGGCUGGAGCUUGAUAACUCCAAGAAUCUGGAAAAGUACAAAAGGACGACACUCCGAUGUUUCUAUAACUUCUGGAAACACAAUCAGGGUGCUGACUUUAGUUACCUUUCGGAGGAAGUCAGAGCUGCGGAGUUGGCCCGGUGCGCUGCUCAACUGGCUGAUGAGGAGGCAAGAGCUGCGACUCCUGCAACCCCAAGCGUUGUUGGUUUGGAAGAAGAAACCAUCGAGGAAGUGACUGAUCAGGUUGUUGCCCAGGACCCUCCUGCCCCCCAUGCUUCUUAAUUUAUUUAACUAUCUUUCUUUUUUGAACAUGCGACCCACGGGUCGUGAUGUAAAGACAACAAUUUUUUUUUUUUAAACUUUGCUGCACGGGCAGUAAAUCUUUUUGUUCGAACAGUUACAUCCAAGCAGCAAUGCUUGCGGUGUAAAAGCUUAACUCUUAGUGCUAUAAUAUUUUUACUUAUUAUAACGUUUGUCCGUAUGACCGAACUUAGCAUAGUACUUGGACAUGAUUUAACAAAACAUAUAUUUUGAAAAAUACUCUAAGUACUUGAAGCAUGCUUUCACUCAUUUUGUUAAUGUGUUUACAUACCUUGAGAGUAUGCUUUGCUAUCGAUGUGCCUUAUAUGCCCCCCAAGUGAUCGAGGAGCUUUAGGUCCUUGGUCACUUGCCUUGACCAUGGCCUGUCCGAACAUUCCUGUUCGUGCGGAAAAAUGAUACUUGUAAUACAGCAAAACAACACACGUAAUGAACAAAUACUUGCAAAUGUAAAUUCACAAAGGUUGGCAAGAACGACUGGUUGAGCACAGUCCCUUAUAAUUUCGUAUUAAAAAUGGACUAAUCAUGUCUUUACGAGCGAUUCUGAAAUAUAAUCUUACAUAUACGAGCAGUUAGCCACACAACGUGGCUAACCCUCUUUGCAAAACUUGUAAAAGAAAAUUUAAACAAGCCAGUCCUUUAAGAAGGGCUGUUCAUUGAUAAUACUUGCGCAGGUGUUCUCCAUUCCAAUAGCGUGGAACGAGAUCUCCGUUUAAGCGCGCGAGUUUAUAGGUGCCUGGGUGAAGGACUUCUUCAAUUUGGUAAGGCCCUUCCCAGUUAGGUCCGAGCACUCCAGCUGUGGGGUCGCGGGUAUUCAAGAAAACUCGUCGUAACACCAAGUCUCCGACGUUGAAUCUUCUUUCUUUAACUUUGGAGUUAAAGUACCGGGCGACUUUUUGCUGAUAAGCAGCAACUCGGAGUUGAGAUUUUUCUCUUAUCUCGUCAAUUGAGUCUAAGGACUCCAGCAUUAGUUGGCUGUUUUGGUCUUGAUCGUACGUUAAAUGCCGAUGUGAGGGGGGAUUUAUCUCGACGGGUAACAUGGCCUCAUACCCAUAAGCUAAGGAAAAUGGGGUACGUCCUGUGGCUGUUCGAUGAGAUGUUCUAUACAACCAGAGGACUUCAGGUAGUUGUUCUGGCCAUGCUCCUUUAGCUUCUUCAAGUCUUUUCUUCAGGGUGUCCUUGAGGGUUUUGUUUACAGCUUCGACUUGCCCAUUCGCUUGGGGGUGUGCGACUGAAGAAAAGCUCUUAAUUAUCCCAUGCCUUUCGCAGAAAUCGGUGAACAAGUCGCUGUCAAAUUGGGUCCCGUUGUCUGAUACUAUCUUUCUGGGCAAACCAUAGCGGCACACAAUGUUCUUGAUGACAAAGUCGAGAACUUUCUUGGUCAUUAUGGUUGCGAGUGGUUCAGCUUCGACCCAUUUUGUGAAGUAAUCGACCGCCACAACUGCGUACUUUACUCCUCCUUUUCCUGUUGGUAGUGAUCCAAUUAAGUCUAUUCCCCAUAUUGCGAAAGGCCAUGGGCUCUGCAUCUGCUUUAAUUCGUUUGGAGCGGCUCGUGAGAUUUUGGAGAACCUUUGACAUUUAUCACAUCUUCGUACGUACUCCAUUGAAUCCUCAUUCAUUGUUGGCCAGAAAUAGCCCUGUCGGAGAACUUUUUUCGCCAAACUCUGCCCCCCAGCGUGAUCUCCGCAGAAGCCUUCAUGCACCUCUUUCAUGAGUUCUUUUGCUUUUUCUGAUGUAAUGCACCUGAGCAGUGGCAUUGAAUAUCCUCUUCGGUACAUAACACCGUCGAGCAGUAUGUACCUAGCAGCUUGCCUUUGCAGAGUUCUGGCUUUGUUUCUAUCUGCUGGCAAUGUCCCAUUUGUCAGGUACUCCAGGUAAGGCGCCAUCCAUGUAUCUUCCAUACGAAUUUCCAUGCUGGCUUCGGCCGCAUCAAUGCUUGGUUCACUUAAUCUCUCUACUGGGACUAUAUUCAAGGCGUCAGCAUCUUUAGCACUUGCGAGUUUGGCCAAGGCGUCUGCAUUCGAAUUCUGGUCUCGCAGAAUCUGCUGGAGGGUGUACUUUGUAAACUGUGCUAGCAAAUCUUUCGUUUUGUUGAGGUAAGCCAUCAUCUUUAAUCCUCGCGCUUGAUAUUCUCCCAGGACUUGAUUCACGAUCAGCUGAGAGUCGCUGUAAACAUCGAGCGCUUUUAUAUUCAUAUCCCUAGCCAUUCUCAGCCCAGCGAGGAGUGCCUCGUAUUCCGCUUCAUUGUUUGACGCUGCGAAGUCAAACUUGAUUGCGCAGUGAAAUCGAUGCCCUUCGGGCGUUAUCAAUAUCACUCCCGCUCCAGCGUGAGAUUCAUUAGAUGAUCCAUCCGUGAAUAGCUUCCAUGAAGGAGUCUUGUCUUGAGGCAUGGACGCUUCAGGCUGUUCGCACAACUCGUUGUUGGGGAGUUCUGUGAACUCCGCAAUAAAAUCGGCCAGGACUUGCCCUUUUAUUGCUGCUCGUGGUGAAUAAGUUACGUCGAACUGUCCUAAUUCGACCGCCCAUUUUAACAGUCGACCGGCCGCCUCCGUUUUUUGGAGUACUUGCCGAAGGGGCUGGUCGGUCAGAACCGUGAUAGGAUGAGCUUGGAAGUACGGACGCAACUUUCUGGAGGCUAGAAUUAGGCAAUAUGCUAAUCUUUCGAUCGGAGGAUAUUUUAAUUCCGCACCGAUGAGCCUUUUGCUGACGUAAUAAACAGCUUUCUGUACACCUUCUUCCUCCCGUAUUAGUACUGCACUAGCAGCAACUUCGGUAAUUGCCAGAUAAAUAUAUAAAGUCUCUCCUUCGAUUGGUUUUGAUAGGAUGGGAGGUUGCGACAUAUGAGUCUUUAAGGUCUGGAAUGCUUGCUCGCAAUCCUCCGUCCAUUCAAACUUCUUAUUUCCCCUGAGUAGAUUGAAGAAUGGAACGCACUUGUCAGUUGAUUUUGAGAUGAAUCUACUCAGGGCAGCGAUCCUUCCGGUCAGGCUUUGUACAUCCUUGAUUUUCUUCGGCGACUUCAUGUCGAUCAGGGCUUUUAUCUUGUCGGGGUUGGCCUCGAUUCCUCUUGAAUUUACUAUGAACCCCAAAAACUUCCCCGAUCCGACUCCAAAGGAACAUUUGAGGGGGUUUAAUUUCAUCUGAUACCUGUUCAGUACGUCAAAGCAUUUCUGCAAAUCCCUCACAUGUCCUUCUGCCCUUUUGGACUUUACGAGCAUGUCAUCCACAUAUACCUCCAUGCUUAUCCCAAUUAGCUCUUUGAACAUGUGGUUUACCAAUCGUUGGUAAGUCGCACCUGCGUUUUUCAGUCCGAAGGGCAUUACUCUGUAACAAUAUAAGCCCGUAUCGGUUCGAAAGCUGGUGUGAUCCUCGUCAGGGGGGUGCAUGCUGAUUUGGUUGUAACCCGAAUAUGCAUCCAUGAACGAGAGGAUCUCAUGUCCUGCAGUUGCAUCGACUAGCUGAUCGAUCCUUGGGAGUGGGAAGCAGUCUUUUGGGCAGGCCUUAUUGAGGUCUGUAAAAUCCACACAGGUCCGCCACUUGCCGCUUGGCUUGGGGACCAGCACCGGAUUUGAGACCCACGACGGAUAAAACGCUACCCUGAUGAACCCAUUUUCUUUAAGUCUUUCGACUUCUUCUUUUAAGGCCUUUGAUCUAUCUUUAUCGAGCAGCCUUCUUUUCUGUUGCACCGGUGGAAAGGCUUUGUUUAUGUUCAGGACAUGGCUGAUUACUGCAGGGUCUAUUCCAACCAUGUCUUUAUGCGACCAGGCGAAAACUUCUUGGUUCUCUUGCAAGAAUCUUACCAGUGCCUGUUUUGUGGUAGGUUCUAAAUUCUUCCCAACCCUCAUGACUCUGGUUGGAUCUUUUUCAUCGAGUUGGACCUCUUCCAGGUCCUCGAUGGGUCCUAUAUUUUCUUCAAAAUCCCCAAAGCGAGGAUCCAAAUCUAUAUCCUCACUUUGGGCAACACCCUAUUUGGUGACUUUACCACCUGAUUGGGUUUGACCGUCUUCUGUCAUCUGCAAUCGUUCUGGGUUGGUGCUCUUCAACGUUCCACUUUUUGCCUUUGUAAUUGAGGCGUUGUAACAUUCUCUGGCCUCCCUUUGGUUUCCUAAAACGCAUCCUACUCCUGCGUCUGUUGGGAACUUCAUGGCUAGAUGCCACAUGGAGGUGAUGGCCCUCAGCUCAACCAGUAUGGGUCUUCCAAUAACGGCAUUAUAUGCUGAAGGACAAUCGACCACUACAAAAGUGGUGAGUAGUGUCCUCGAGGCAGGCGCUGUACCCGUUGUUACUGGGAGUUUGAUCAUCCCGGCUGGUGCGAGUCCUUCUCCAGAGAAGCCGUAUAUGGUUUGAUUGCAGGGCUCCAAGUCCUUUACAUACAAUUUCAUGCGUUCUAGUGUUGAUUUAUACAGGAUGUUCACUGAACUUCCUGUAUCGACCAGUACUCUUUUUACCAUCAUAUUGGCCAUCUGGACAUCCACGACCAGCGGAUCGGAAUGUGGGAACCGGACGUGCUGGGCAUCGUCCUCAGAGAAGGUUAUACCGUACCCCUCUGAGCGUGCCUUUUUUGGCGCGCGGUCCUCCACAGUCAUCAUCUCGAUGUCCUGGUCAUGGCGUAGAGUUCGAGCAUAUCGUUCUCUGGCCUUUCCGCUAUUUCCCGCGAGGUGCGGGCCUCCACAGAUGGUUAAGAGCGUUCCGGCUACGGGGGCAGGCUGUAAUGGUGGCGAGCGCUGUCGUGUAGAUGUCUGCUCGUUGCCACCUGGAGCUUCUCGUUGGGAAGUUCCCGAGGCCCGUACGUACCUUCUCAAGUGUCCUUGUCUUAUAAGGAACUCGAUUUCGUCUUUUAACUGGUUGCAUUCAUUAGUGUCAUGUCCGUAGUCGUUAUGGUAACGACAGAACUUGGUGGUGUCUCUUUUCGAAAUGUCCUUUCGAAUGGGCCCAGGUUUCUUGUAAGGCACACUAGAGCUCGUGGCCUGGUAAACCUCUCCUCGAGACUCGAUGAGGGUAGUGUAGUUAGUGAACCUAGGUUCAUAACGAUUACCCUUGGCACGUUUAUUGUCGGAGGUGGAUGGCUCGUUAUAUGGCCGUUUCCCGCCAUUUUUGCCAUUACCGUUGCCGUUUUUAUGACCUUUGUCGUUGCCAUUAGGUUUGGACCCAUUGGCGGCUUUGGAAGGUUCGGCGGCCUUUUUACCCUUGUUCGAGGGUUUCCCAUCGUCAGUAAUGGCUUCCUCGAGCUUUAUGUAACGAUCGGCUCGAUCCAAGAACUCUUGGGUUGUUUUAACUUCGUCCUUACGAAGACUUUUCCAAAGGGGCGAACGGCGCCUUACUCCCGCGGUUAUAGCCAUCAUUUUUCCUUUGUCUCCGACUGCCGCUCGCAUAAAACGCUGGAUGUAAUCCUUUAGUGAUUCCCCAUCCUUCUGGCGGAUCUCGACCAGUUGGUUUGCUUCGGUCGGGUGGACACGACCUGCGUAGAACUGUCCGUAGAACUCCCUUACGAACAUUUCCCAGGAAACUAUGCUUGCCGGUGGGAACUUAAAGAACCAUUCCUGCGCGGCUUCAGAAAGUGUUGCAAGAAAGAUCCUGCACCGAGCGUCUUCGGACACUUUCUGAAUGUCCAUCUUGAUUUCAAACUUAUUCACAUGCGAGACGGGAUCCCCGUAUCCAUCAAAGUUCGGGAGAGUAGGCAUUUUGAACUUGCUGGGAGUCUCAGCGUUGGCUAUUCUUUGGAUAAAUGGAGUACCCUUUCUCCUAUCGUGGUCGAUGUAAGAGGUCCUACUUCCGACCAGCUGUUGCACAGCCUGAUUUAGCGCGUCUAUCUGGGCUUGCAACGCAGUGGGAAUAGCUACGGUCUCUGCUGCUGGGGGAAUGUUCUCACCAUGCUUCUCCCGACGAUCAUUGAGUAUGUCUCUUAGAUCUUCUUCUCUUCUCCGUUGCUCGCUACCUCCGAGCCGGUUGAAGACAUUAUUUUGCUUGGGUUGCCCCCCAGCAUCUUGUCUAUUUGGUUGGUCAUCUUGAGGUAUUUGGCUCCUGCCUUUGCCUCUAUUUCCGUUCCUUUCAUCAGCAUUGCCCUUGCCUGAGUCAACCUCGUUGUAACCGUGGCCAUCUUUGAACUUUGAUUGGCUGUGGUAAGAUUGGCUGUUCCCUCUAUUCCCGUCUCUGGCAGAAGCACCUCGAGCGUUAGAGGGUGGCCUGCGCUGGUCGCGAUGUCCCCUUGCAUUAUCAUGUCGUGGGGGUCCACGGACCGCAGAGCCUAACUCCGAGUCCCUCCUGUUACCAGGAGGGUAGUGACCUCUGUUCGCUUGGGGUGGCCCAUCAUUCUCGCGGCGUCUAGGACUACGAGGCUGUCGCUCGGCCCUAUUCUGCCUUUGCUGCGGGGGAUUCCCUCGAGCAGCUUGGGAUGGUGGAUUUGCCUCGGGGUCCAGUGGGACGUCGUCUUGGGGCAUUUGAGGCUGCUCGGGCCUUUGCGGACUUGAAGGAUGGACUGGUGGGCUAGGAUUGGGACUCUUCUGAGGUGGCCCAUUCUCAGGUUGGUUAGGCUGCGAGGCAGGCGCGACCUGAUUUCUGGCCAACAGCAAGGCCGCUUCAAGGGCUGCCAUGGCCUCGGUCUGGCGGCGAUCUACCUCUGCUUGUCUCUCGCUCAACUCCGCCCGCUGACGAUCAAGUUCCUGCUGCUGCCUUGCCAUAGUUUCUGCAGCAGUCUCUUGAUUGGCUCUCAGACUAGCUAAUUCUUCUUGCAAUGCACCCAGGGUGCUCUUCAGCGUCGCGUCGUCCAUUUCCUCCUCUUCAAAAUCCAGUUGCGGCUCAUCUUCCGCCACGCUUGCGGGUGGAGGAGGAGGUGGUGGAUUUGAUGGUGCAGUGGCGGCAGUUUGGCCAGUUUUCCUUCCUGCUUUCGCCAUCGGUUUUCUUAAUAGCAAUGAAUUGUCCUCUCAAUGAAAGCACCAGAAUGUUGACCCACGAUUUGGCCAAUUGACACGGAGUCAAAAUAUGGAUGAUAUGAACAAAUAUAAAGAAAAUAAUAUAAUGACGAAAGUGAAGAAAACACAACAAUUUAUAGUGGUUCGGCCCCAGGAUCUGGUAAUGACCUACGUCCACUUAGAAUUAUAUUGAUAUGAAAUCAGAAGUGUGAUCAGAGAACUCGGGUUCAAUGAGUUUCAGCACUUCACUUAAAGCAAUACAAGUGUUUUGGCAGAAAUUCUAUCUUUCUCUCCUUUUUUCUCUCGUUCAAAAGAAAAGUCCCCCUCACCUUGAGCUAUUUCUUGCUAUUUAUAGGCUCAAGGAGGGUUACAGAUUAUUUGUUGCAGAUAUUAUCCCCUGAAUAGUGGGAUACUCAGAAGAUUGCAUGAGAUAAUAUCGGGAUUUACAAAGAUCUUCCCAUAAAUGUCGUUCUGCUAGUGGAACCACCGACCAGACUGGUCGCGGUAUAGAUAGGCUUGUCAUGCUUCUGGUGUGUCUCCUGGUCGAUACUCUAGCAGAUGCUUCCAGGUGUCAGCCACGUAUCAAGAAUUUACUUGCCACGUCAUAAAUGCUAAUUUACCUGAUAACAGCUGCCAUAACUAUUUUUCUGCACAUAUAAAUAUAAAGGAAUGAGUCUAAUGCCCAGCAAGGAAAAACUAACAACAUAAAUCAUAUAUAAAAUUAUAUCACUCAUAAACAUAUACUGUAUCAUAAACAUAUGUCAUAUACUACUACAAUGCUACAAUAGCCAUUAUACUACUUGGGGCUUGUUAACUAAUCAAGUCAUAUGCCCAUUCAAUUUGUGGGUUUGCUAGCUAAGCAAGUCAUAUGCCCAUAAAUUUAUUGGGGUUUGUUAGCUAUACAAGUUAUAUGCCCAAGUCUACCAACAUACAUAAUAUAACAUUUCAUUACACAACAUAUCAUAAGAUAACAUAUAACAUAUAAAAUCCUAUCCUGUCCUAUUUUCCUUACCAAUAUACCGGGAUAUGAGAACAGUAUCGGGACUUUGGAAAACUCCUAAAAAAACAUAAUAGAAAUGUGAGUAUACUAAAGAAAAAAGAUGAAAAGAAUGAACUACACCAUCGAAAGGAUACUUACCAACAACAAUCUUACGUUCAAGAUCUUAGAUUCCUAACCAAGAAUAAAGAAUACGAGUUAGGAUUUUGAGUAGAAAAACUAUAAGAACAACACAGAAAGGAACUAGAAGAAGGAAUACCUCGAAUGCUUCUAUAACCGAACUACACCUCGAACUGAAAUAUACUACAAACCUUACUUCCCGAGUGUUUAUUAAGCUUAUAAUCCCAACCCAAGUGUUUAUCACUCUAAAAUAACCUAGCAGCUUGCAGACUCUAAACUUAGCUUCAUGAAUGAAUAAAUGGCUGGGUACUAGGUCCUAUUUAUAGAGUUUAAGAAUGGUCCUAUUUAUAGAGUUUAAGAAUGAAAAGAUCUUUAUUUAGAUUGAAUAAAAUAAUGGCUUUUUAAUUGAAAAAUCUUUAAAUAAUCGUUCAGCAGAGGCUGAAGACUCAGUCAAAAAGAUUCUAGACUUAUCAAGAGGUUAAGGAAUAAAAUAAGCCUGGUUUCAAAAACGUUAAAAAAUCUGGCACUACAGUCGAUAUAUCGCCCCUAGUAGGCGAUAUAUCGCCUGGGCUAAUAUGCUUGAGGCUCGUCGACGUGGUCGUGCGAAGUUACGUAUUUUUCGUAUCCCCGUCUGGCGAUAUAUCGCCCCCUAGUGUUGCGAUAUAUCGGCAUAUGCUGAAAUAUUAUACACAUAAUUGCACUUUUUCAGCCUAAUUUGAAUUGAGUAAACAACCUUGACUAAGCUCUCUAAUGAUUUCAAAGCUGCUGGCAGACCCUACGAUAUUCAAAUAUUACUCUUAAUAAAUUUAUUUAUCAAAAUACUUAAUUAUUCAUUAAACAUUCACAUGACAAGUGUCAUUUCCUUAUUAGGUUUAUCUAAAUCUUAUAUUAUAAUAAAUAUCACCUUCAUAAUCAGUUAUAUUAAUUAGACCUUAGGUUAUAAUUAAUAUUCUUAAACUAUAGGUUAAACUUAUAAAAUCUACAAGUGUUACUACGAGUGUCCAACUAAAUCCCGGUCUAAACCAAAAUCCACAGUCAUAAAAAUACUACAACUAUUACUAUUGCUACUACUAUCUAACUAGCUAAGGAAAAUUCUUGGACUCUACAUGGGGAAGGCACAACCACCUCCCCUUGACCCCAUCAUUGAUCAAGGCCCAGCUAAAAGAAUGAAAUUAUGAAUAAGAGGUGCCACAUCGUAAGUUAUAUGUCCAGAAGUAUAUACGUAAAGAUCUGAAGCUAAGUUAAUCACUACAACUUUAAAUAUCCACUAACCCCUAGGCCUUUUUUAGUUGUGGUAAAGAUCUAAAGCUAAGCUAAGUUAAUCACUACAACUUUAUAUUUGUUGUGGUAGUUUUCACUUCAGUUGUUGUACAAGGACAUGAAGAAGAAAUAUAUGUUGUUGGACAAUAAAUUGAGUGUUUUAUUUUAUUUGUAAUUUUUAUUAGAGUAAAUGAUUCUUUGUAAAUACUUUGUAUAAGUUUUGUUAUUUUAAUCUAUAAUUUUUUAGAUUUGUAUAUAAAUCUUUCAUUUAUAUCAUAAUAUUUAAUUUAAAAUAAAAAUAAAUAAUUUUUUUGCAAGCAACGACGACACCUAAUAACUGUCGGCAUUGCCAGCAACGACAACACCUAAUAAUUGUUGGCGUAGACAGCAACAACGACACCGAAUAAUUGUCGGCGUAGCUACCCCUACGCCGGCAUAGGCAAAUACGACAAUUAGUCGACCGUCGUUGUUUCUUAAUAGCGACAAUUAAAAUCUGUCAGGAAAUCCCAUUUUUGUAGUAGUGCUUGAACCAAAAUCCACGAUUGUCCAGGUAAAUGAACAUGGAAGGUGGGACGGAUCCGAGGUGGCUUUGGCAUGUGUAUUGGGUGAGGAACUUAAGGAAUGAACCGAUGGAAUCGAUCGAGGAUGACGCCAAAAUUUGAGUCUUUUAAUUAUAUAUUUAUGAUUUUCGCAUUUAGUACUUGAAUAUUAAAUAAAUGUUUUAUUUUCUUUAUGAUUUUAUGUAUAAACAAUGUGAUCCCGUACUUUUGGAUUUUCUUUAUAAUAAAGUCUUUAUUAUUUUAUGUA